UACGUAGGGCGCAAGCGUUGUCCGGAUUUAUUGGGCGUAAAGAGCUCGUAGGCGGUCUGUCGCGUCGGAUGUGAAAACCCGGAACUCAACUCCGGGCCUGCAUUCGAUACGGGCAGACUUGAGUACUGCAGGGGAGGACUGGAAUUCCUGGUGUAGCGGUGGAAUGCGCAGAUAUCAGGAGGAACACCGGUGGCGAAGGCGGGUCUCUGGGCAGUAACUGACGCUGAGGAGCGAAAGCGUGGGGAGCGAACAGG
rnacentral:rRNA from 1 species